UACGUAGGGGGCGAGCGUUGUCCGGAUUUAUUGGGCGUAAAGAGCUCGUAGGCGGUUCGGUAAGUCGAAUGUGAAAUCUCCACGCUCAACGUGGAGGGGUCAUUCGAAACUGCCGUGACUUGAGUACGGUAGGGGAGUGUGGAAUUCCCGGUGUAGCGGUGAAAUGCGCAGAGAUCGGGAGGAACACCCGUAGCGAAGGCGGCACUCUGGGCCGAUACUGACGCUGAGGAGCGAAAGCCAGGGGAGCGAACGGG
rnacentral:rRNA from 1 species